UAGCACCGCCCCUUUUCCUGCCGAACCGCGCUCGAAGGGACGAGAGCGCGCUCCUCCGCCGAGGCUCGUCGGUUCGCGGUAGCGGCGCCUCCCAUCGUCGCGGCGCGUCGGCACUCAUGGUCCCUCCUCGCGGGGCCGCCUGACCUCUAGACGACGACGCUUCGCGGCGCUGCCCGGUCCCUCCUCGCGGCGGCGUCUAACUCCUCCCGGCGGCGGGCCUGGCUCGAGGAGUGCGGUGGCGUCUAGCUCCUCCUGGCGGCGGGGCUGGCUCGAGGAAGGAGUGCGGCGGGCGGAGAGGGACUGAGUCCGCGCGAUCGGGGGUCCACUCACUCCGGUGGGAUGGGGUUAGGGUAGAGGAGGGUGGCCGUUAGGGGUAUGGGAGCAGCGGCUAACCGACGCACCAAGAACAACCUCGCACCGAACUUAAGAUCACUACGAACAUGAGACCUACGAAAACUUAAAGUCACUACGAACAUGAGACAUAUGAAAACUUAAAGUCACUGUUCAUCGUACCUUUAAUUGGACAUGACUAUUACGAUUCUUAACUGGACAUGACCAAGAACAUUGUAUGACAUAUAUGUCUAUCACCUAAACUAACCUAUCCUAACUGACUAUUACGAUUAUCAAACUCGAACAACAGAGAAUUC
rnacentral:rRNA from 1 species